rnacentral:rRNA from 1 species
GAUGAACGCUGGCGGCGUGCUUAACACAUGCAAGUCGAACGGAAAGGCUCCUGCUUGCAGGGGUACUCGAGUGGCGAACGGGUGAGUAACACGUGGGUGAUCUGCCCUGCACUUCGGGAUAAGCCUGGGAAACUGGCUCUAAUACCGGAUAGGACGAUGGUUUGGAUGCCAUUGUGGAAAGUUUUUUCGGUGUGGGAUGAGCUCGCGGCCUAUCAGCUUGUUGGUGGGGUAAUGGCCUACCAAGGCGUCGACGGGUAGCCGGCCUGAGAGGGUGUACGGCCACAUUGGGACUGAGAUACGGCCCAGACUCCUACGGGAGGCAGCAGUGGGGAAUAUUGCACAAUGGGCGCAAGCCUGAUGCAGCGACGCCGCGUGGGGGAUGACGGCCUUCGGGUUGUAAACUCCUUUCGCUAGGGACGAAGCGCAAGUGACGGUACCUGGAGAAGAAGCACCGGCUAACUACGUG